rnacentral:rRNA from 1 species
GGAGGGAUCAUUACCGAGUUUACAACUCCCAAACCCCUGUGAACAUUACCAAUUGUUGCCUCGGCGGAUCAGCCCGCUCCCGGUAAAACGGGACGGCCCGCCAGAGGACCCCUAAACUCUGUUUCUAUAUGUAACUUCUGAGUAAACCAUAAAUAAAUCAAAACUUUCAACAACGGAUCUCUUGGUUCUGGCAUCGAUGAAGAAGCAGCAAAAUGCGAUAAGUAAUGUGAAUUGCAGAAUUCAGUGAAUCAUCGAAUCUUUGAAGCACAUUGCGCCCGCCAGUAUUCUGGCGGGCAUGCCUGUUCGAGCGUCAUUUCAACCCUCAAGCCCCCGGGUUUGGUGUUGGGGAUCGGCGAGCCCUUGCGGCAAGCCGGCCCCGAAAUCUAGUGGCGGUCUCGCUGCAGCUUCCAUUGCGUAGUAGUAAAACCCUCGCAACUGGUACGCGGCGCGGCCAAGCCGUUAAACCCCCAACUUCUGAAUGUUGACCUCGGAUCAGGUAGGAAUACCCGCUGAACUUAAGCA